AUCUAUAUGAGAUUCCAUUUUCUGUUCCCCAGGAUCCCUGAGGUCAGGUCAAGUUGGCAAGUAGACAUAGACAUAUUAUACCCCCCCAUCCCAUCUCUAGGUGGGCACGAUUGCCAGUGGCAGGCUAGAAGAGCAGGGCAAUAGUGUGUGGCAACAUUCCGAUAUCCUACAUCUAUCAGGAGAGAUGGGAUGCUUUGAGUCAGUCACUGGCAAGCUUCUUUAUUUGCAUGAUAAGAGGGCUUCUUUCUGAUUUCGGCUUUUCUGUUGUGCUGCCUUUUUUUUUGGCAGGCUCCCAGAGUGAAUGGGCAUUGGUCAGUGGGGCUUGCGGCCCUAUCUCCCCAGGGAGGGAGAAGAUCUGGGGAGGCAUGCCCCCAUCCCCAAGCCAAUGAGCUCCGGAAGCUCCUCCUGGAAAAGCUAAUUAUUGAGUUCUGAAGUUUGCAUACCUAACUGUUCACUUACGGUAUCUCACAGUCUAAUUAAUUCAUAGCCACAUGCAUAGAGUUUAUUGCAUUUGCAACUAUGCAGCAUCAAAUUGUUGCAAAGGGACCUCUGGAAAGGACUGUC
rnacentral:lncRNA from 1 species